rnacentral:rRNA from 2 species
UAGAGUUUGAUCCUGGCUCAGGAUGAACGCCGGCGGUGUGCCUAAUACAUGCAAGUCGUACGCACUGGCCCAACUGAUUGAUGGUGCUUGCACCUGAUUGACGAUGGAUCACCAGUGAGUGGCGGACGGGUGAGUAACACGUAGGUAACCUGCCCCGGAGCGGGGGAUAACAUUUGGAAACAGAUGCUAAUACCGCAUAACAACAAAAGCCACAUGGCUUUUGUUUGAAAGAUGGCUUUGGCUAUCACUCUGGGAUGGACCUGCGGUGCAUUAGCUAGUUGGUAAGGUAACGGCUUACCAAGGCGAUGAUGCAUAGCCGAGUUGAGAGACUGAUCGGCCACAAUGGAACUGAGACACGGUCCAUACUCCUACGGGAGGCAGCAGUAGGGAAUCUUCCACAAUGGGCGCAAGCCUGAUGGAGCAACACCGCGUGAGUGAAGAAGGGUUUCGGCUCGUAAAGCUCUGUUGUUGGAGAAGAACGUGCGUGAGAGUAACUGUUCACGCAGUGACGUAUCCACCAGAUGACGAU